UUUAAAAAAAACAAAUGAAUAAAAUGGCAAAGAAUGGUUUAUGUAUUUCAGAUGACAUUUUUUUCUUCCAAAUCUGAGAAUAUUCCAUGAUUAUGCAAAGAGCUUGCAGAUAAUGUUAAAAUUAAUUUAUUACCCUAACUUCCUAAACAUUUAAAUUCUUUAUUUUGACCAUUAAAAUACCAGAUAAUGCUAUUUCAUUGUUUCUACUUAUGUUAGAUUGUUAAAUUCAUUUCCAGCAAUUAUAUGUGAAUGGUAUUACUGUAGUACAUUUUUCUACAAAUUAACGUAUGUACUGUAUUAAAUGUCUUAGUGUUAGAGAUAAAUAAAUUUGAUUGUCAUCUUAGCAUUACCACUAUGUUCUUAUUGCUAAAUGUUUGAUGUAAAGAAGACUAGAUAGUCUCUUUUGAUGUCUUAGAUGCUAUUGGUGAAAUUGACAUUUAAGAAGCUUGAUUUUGACAAUACCAUUUAGGAUGGCCAAAUAUAUCACAGACUGGUAUUAUGAGAAUAGGCAGGCAAUAAUAAGCAUGAGAAUAAGCAUGGAAGUUAUAAUUUCCUUCUUCCUUUCUAUGAAGUUUUUAAUUUUUGAUCCUUGCUUACAGCAAACCAUGAACAAGUAUGGCCUAUCUGGAUGAACUAGAAAAUUAUUGGUAAACAGGGGUAGAUGUUCCUAACCGAAUGAUGUGAGCAGUGGAGACUGGUUGCUCUAAUGUCAGUGAUGGCUGUGGGCUUUUGUUUGAACACUAAAGAAGCAAUACAAGUUUUUCACUUGGCAAGCCUUCUAGAGAGGGUACAGAAGGUGAUGUUCUGCCUCUCUCCUGAUAUGUUUACUCCACCUGAGAACCCUACUAGAGAAGGCUCAGCAGAAGAACAUAGUUCUUACCAGUUGUUCUCUGUUUGUGGGCUCCUCUGAAGAGGACCUGUUGUUUAAUGGAAAGCCAGCUCACCUUAGGCAAGCCCUUUGGAAUCAUCAGUUGCUGUCUCUUCUGGUUCCUCUGGAGAGCAUUUCUCUAGCCUGGAAAAGGUCUCAGAGAGGUGCUCCCAGUUGUAAAACAGAGAAGAAUUGAAUUUUAAAUGCUGACUAUGGAAAAUGCUAACUGUACUCAAAGCAUCUUUCAGAUGUUUCUGAAGACCACCAUUUUUAAAUCCCUGAAAAUGUGCUGCCGGUGCCCCUACUGUGAUGACAUCAUAAAGAACAUCUGCAAUAGGAAUAGACAAAUAUUGAGAUUUAAAGGUGCACAUGAAAAGACAAGGACACAUUGCUUAUAAUAGCAGAGUGUUCCUCUUUUGGAAACACAUGCCUCUUAUUCCAGAAAGCUUCAAUAAGAUUGAAGGGUGUGGCUUAAAAUGUUUUACUAUGCUAUUCCUGGAUAUUUGCAUCAAACAAACAUAAAAACUUAUCUCAGAGAAAAGUCAUCUGAAAGUAUUGACUCUAAGGUGUGGAUCAAUGGGAAAUUGUAGCUUUCUUACAGCAAAGGCUUCUUAGGUGGUGGGGGGAAAAUCAUUUCUAUAAUUUCACCAACUUACACUACUCUUGCUUUGUUGGCAGUAAAACAGAACAACAGUACUUUCUUAAUAUGAUUUAGUGUGGCAUGAUAUUAUUCUUUGACAUUUAACUCCAACCUCAUUCCCAUCUUAUUGUAAUUUGUACCACACCCCUCAAGGUAUGUGGCAGCUCAAGUGGUUGUGAUGCUGACUCUGUUGAUUGCAAGAUCGGCAGGUUGGCAGUUUGAGGCCCAGGUGAUGGGGUGAGCUCCCAUUACUAGUCCCAGUUUCUGCCAACCUAGCAGUUCAAAAGAAUGCAAAUGCAAGUAGAUAAAUAGAUGCCACUUUGGUGGGAAGGUAAACAGCGUUCUCAGUAAUCAUGUUGGUCACAAGAUCACAGAGUAAUCUCUGAUAACACUGGCUCUUUGGCUUAGUAACAGAGAUGGGCACCACCCCUUCUGGUUGGACACGAUUUGACAACCUUGUCAACAGGGAAUACCUUUACCUUUUACCACACUCCUUCUCCUUUUCCUUCCACCUUUACCUUGACACAUCCCCUUAUUGCCACCAUUCUAGAAGUGAACUUAGCAAAACACAGCCAUCUAGGAGUCAGGUUUUGCAACAGAACCUGAACCAAGUUUGUAAUCAGACUGUAGUUUACCUUUCAACCGUGGACUGUGCACAUACAUUCUUUGCAGAUGUAGAUUGACUGGAACGAAUUCUAGAGUUUUUUCCCCUUUACUACAACUUGAUUUGAAGGAAGAACCUGGAAAGUGAACGUUUAAAAAUUAAUUAUCUGAAGAUGUUCACCAGAUAUUUUUUUUCUUGCAAUUAACAUGCCAGGAUAAUUCCAUGUUGUGCAACAUUUCAUUGGCAUAAUGUUGGUAGAACUAAAAAAAAAAAACCUUUAUUUUUAAUGUGUUAUUGCACAUUAUGAACAGUGGUUUUUACUGUUUCUCUUAGCACAUAUCUCAAAAGCAGCUGUCAAUAUAUUUUUUAAUUCUCAGAAUUGGUAUCUUUGCCUCACCUAUCCUAAUAUCUGUGUCUUAUGCAGAUUUUAUUCGAUUCUACUUUAUUUUAUUUAUAUCCCACCUUCCUCCUGGCAUGGGACCCAGGGUAGCUUUUCUUAAUAGUCUUACUAUAGAAAAAUUGUACAAAGUAUCAAUUAGUUCAGAGUUUUAAUUGUUUUAUGAUUAUGCAUUUACAUGUUUGUGAAACAUGCUGGGACAAAGAACACACUGGAGCACCACCACAAACUACUUCAUUCUUUUAUUGAGAACAUUUUUUUAUUUUUAAAAAAACACCAAAGGUUGGCCAACUUGUGACAAUCAGGCAUAUGAGUGAGUCCUGGGUGUGUCCUGAAAACCCUGAAUAUAAAAGAAGCUCCCAGAAGAGGACCUUUCCUUCCACUCUUCCCCAGUGUAGUCCCCUGAAACCUCUGAAACAGUGUUGCUGAAAGGUCUAGGCCUCUAAACCAGAGGUAAGGCAUAAGCACCUUACAUGAAUAGAGUCCCAUGUCUCUAUGUAGAUUCUCUCUUCCCUGAUAUCUGAACUUACCACAUUCUAGAAAACCCCAUGAUCCUCAGGAGAAGCAUACUGUGGGCAUCAGUGAUCUGAACAGCAAGCAUGAAUAAAAAGCCUCUGUCACUGUGGGAUGCUAUGGUCUAUCAAGACUUUCUUAUAGGUCUUCAACAAAAUGCACAUGGAUUUGAUAGUUAUCCUUGUGAAAAGAUAUUUAGCACUCAUUUCUUAAGCUACAAACCCCUCAAUCAGUGCAACUGAAUGCCAUACGUUUUUUUCCAGGCUUCCAGUCCAUAAAGUGGGAUGCCUUUUCAUGCAGGAAACCCAUCAGGGCUAGCUGAAGCCUUCUUGUUGUACUGAAAAACUUAGCUCAAUCCACUACUACAAAAACUGAGAGGAGAAUUUCCUUCUAUUCAUGCCUCUGAGGAUACAAUAUGAAAAAAGAAUAGCUUCCAAUUGGCAAAAGGGUCAGAAAAAGCUGCAUUCUACCCACCUAUCUGAGUAAUUUAUAGACUCAGAGGAAGGCAGUGUGGAAACAUCUUGCAUUUAGGAUAUGCAGAUAUGCACCAUAUUACUAGCAAAAAACAGGGAAAAUGUGGAAGGCCUACUGAAGAAAGUUAAAUGUUACAUUAAGGAAAAAAGUGCCAAAACAAUGUUACAGCUGAAUGUUAAGAAAUGGCCCCAGAGAUCUACAUAAAGUUAAUAGUGUAUUAGUUGAUUAUUUUCUAUGCCUUGGCUCAUUCACAAACCAAAAUAGAGACUGCAAUCAUGGAAUCAGAAGACUAAAUUAAGAAGAAACUAGAUUAAAUUGUCAAGUGUAAAGAUAUAGCAUUGAAUACCAAUGUCAGAAUCAUCCAUGCCAUAGUAUCUCCAUAUUCUAUGUACGGUUGUGAAAGCUGAACAAAUAAGAAACCUGACAGGAAAAAAAAAACCAACUA